rnacentral:lncRNA from 1 species
AGGAGUCUAAUGGCUGUCAAUAGGUGGCUGUGAAUAAGUGGCUGAAAUGAUGUCCACCAGGUAGCGUGAGUGUCUUCAGAGAAGCUUAGCGGCCAUUUUGUUCCAAGACGCAGCAGAAAUGGGUUGUUGGUUGUGACGUUUCUCACGAUGAAAAUUAAAAGGUGAUUUAGCAUGUAGAAACCAAUUUGCCAAAUCAUUCACCUCAGACUUGGGAAGUCCCUGUACAUUUCCGAAAUGGCGUGCCUCGUGUGUCUCGCUGCCUGUUCUUUGGCUUACGUCUCACCCCAUUCAACAGUAAAAAGUAAAACAAAUGCUGGUGGUUACCUUGUUGCAGCCAAAUGGUGAAAGGUGUGACAAAGACAGAUUGAACUGUUGUAUGCUGAAUGCGAUUGCAGUGUAAUCCAGAAGUUGCUGUGCUGUUGUAGCUGAGCUGUUCCAUCUGGGUUCCUGACUUCAAAAAUUUUGUGUUGUCGUUUUCAUCCAUGCCAUACGAAAUUGCUCUGCCAGUAAUA